AACGAACGCUGGCGGCAUGCCUAACACAUGCCAGUCGAACGAGACCUUCGGGUCUAGUGGCGCACGGGUGCGUAACGCGUGGGAACCUGCCCUUAGGUUCGGAAUAACUCCCCGAAAGGGGUGCUAAUACCGGAUAAUGUCUUCGGACCAAAGAUUUAUCGCCUUUGGAUGGGCCCGCGUUGGAUUAGCUAGUUGGUAGGGUAAAAGCCUACCAAGGCGACGAUCCAUAGCUGGUCUGAGAGGAUGAUCAGCCACACUGGGACUGAGACACGGCCCAGACUUCUACGGGAGGGAGGAGGUGGGAAUAUUGGACAAUGGGCGAAAGCCUGAUCCAGCAAUGCCGCGUGAGUGAUGAAGGCCUUAGGGUUGUAAAGCUCUUUUACCCGGGAUGAUAAUGACAGUACCGGGAGAAUAAGCUCCGGCUAACUCCGUG
rnacentral:rRNA from 1 species